rnacentral:rRNA from 1 species
UUCUUCGGAUGAAGUAUGAUAUGACUGAGUGGCGGACGGGUGAGUAACGACGUGAGUAACCUAGCCUUCCAGAGGGGGAGUAGCGUUUGGUAGACGAACGGUAAUACCGCAUAAUGUAUUUUGUACCGCAUGAUCGAAAUACCAAAGAUUUAUCGCUGAAGGAUGGACUCGCGUCUGAUUAGGUAGUUGGUGGGGUAACGGCCUACCAAGCCGACGAUCAGUAGCCGGACUGAGAGGUUGAUCGGCCACAUUGGGACUGAGACACGGCCCAGACUCC